UUGACCUCGGAUCAGGUAGGGAUACCCGCUGAACUUAAGCAUAUCAAUAAGCGGAGGAAAAGAAACCAACAGGGAUUGCCUCAGUACGGGCAUAGAAAA
rnacentral:rRNA from 1 species